GACGAACGCUGGCGGCGUGCUUAACACAUGCAAGUCGAACGGAAAGGCCCGGCUUUUGUGGGGUGCUCGAGUGGCGAACGGGUGAGUAACACGUGAGUAACCUGCCCUUGACUUUGGGAUAACUUCAGGAAACUGGGGAUAAUACCGGAUAGGAGCUCCUGCUGCAUGGUGGGGGUUGGAAAGUUUCGGCGGUUGGGGAUGGACUCGCGGCUUAUCAGCUUGUUGGGGGGGUAGUGGCUUACCAAGGCUUUGACGGGUAGCCGGCCUGAGAGGGUGAACGGCCACAUUGGGACUGAGAUACGGCCCAGACUCCUACGGGAGGCAGCAGUGGGGAAUAUUGCACAAUGGGCGGAAGCCUGAUGCAGCAACGCCGCGUGCGGGAUGACGGCCUUCGGGUUGUAAACCGCUUUCGCAUGUGACGAAGCGUGAGUGACGGUAAUGGGUAAAGAAGCACCGGCUAACUACGUG
rnacentral:rRNA from 1 species